AAUUCUCAACCAAUCCUUAUUCUUGGAUUGGAUCAGCUUGGACUUGGGAGCUUGUUGGGUCCCCCCUCAGGCUUGGCUCUCCUGAAAUGCAUUGCAUUAAGCUAACAUGCAUGGCCUCUGACAUGAUAAUGAUUGUUGUAGCUGGAGUGUGGCUUGAUUGGAUCAGCUUUAGCUACUAGUUUGUAACCUGAAUGAAUGAAUAUGAGUCUAACCUAAUA
rnacentral:misc_RNA from 1 species